AUACUUACCUGGCGUAGGGGUUACCGUGAUCCAGAAGGCGGUUCCCCAGGGUGAGAUCCUUCCAUUGCACUUCGGUUGGGUUGACCCCUGCGAUUGCCCCAAAUGUGGGUAACUCGGGCGCGUAAUUUUUGGUAGUCGGGACUGCGUUCGCGCCGUCCCGGU
rfam:Zootermopsis nevadensis contig34201, whole genome shotgun sequence.